GAAAAUUCAAACAACCUGAAGUUUACAAGAAUCAGACCCACAGGACUCAUUUGAGAAAGAUAAACCAGGUGUGCUUAAGAAUUCUUUUAGAAUAUCCAAUAUAUUCACCUGCAAGAGUCAAACUCCUUAUCCCAAAAAAAGCUUCAAGAUGCUUCAUCAGCAAAGCAAAUUGUCAUUGACCAUCGGUGUUCUCUCCACAGUCUGGG
rnacentral:lncRNA from 1 species